UAGGGAAUCUUCCACAAUGGACGAAAGUCUGAUGGAGCAACGCCGCGUGAGUGAAGAAGGGUUUCGGCUCGUAAAACUCUGUUGUUAAAGAAGAACAUAUCUGAGAGUAACUGUUCAGGUAUUGACGGUAUUUAACCAGAAAGCCACGGCCAACUACGUACCAG
rnacentral:rRNA from 1 species